GCGGCAAGAGCUCAGAUUUGAAAUCGUGCUUUGCGGCACGAGUUGUAGAUUGCAGGUUGGAGUCUGUGUGGAAGGCGGUGUCCAAGUCCCUUGGAACAGGGCGCCCAGGAGGGUGAGAGCCCCGUGGGAUGCCGGCGGAAGCAGUGAGGCCCUUCUGACGAGUCGAGUUGUUUGGGAAUGCAGCUCCAAGCGGGUGGUAAAUUCCAUCUAAGGCUAAAUACUGGCGAGAGACCGAUAGCGAACAAGUACUGUGAAGGAAAGAUGAAAAGCACUUUGAAAAGAGAGUGAAACAGCACGUGAAAUUGUUGAAAGGGAAGGGUAUUGCGCCCGACAUGGGGAUUGCGCACCGCUGCCUCUCGUGGGCGGCGCUCUGGGCUUUCCCUGGGCCAGCAUCGGUUCUUGCUGCAGGAGAAGGGGUUCUGGAACGUGGCUCUUCGGAGUGUUAUAGCCAGGGCCAGAUGCUGCGUGCGGGGACCGAGGACUGCGGCCGUGUAGGUCAC
rnacentral:rRNA from 1 species